GCUGCCCCAGAAGCAUUGCAGGUCUGGCUGCGGUGUCACACGUGUGUCAGUAGGUGGCAGAGAGGAGAGAAGCUAAGUCUAUGCCCAGUGUUCCAACUGUGAACAUUGGAAUGAAAAAUAGCAAGCCUGA